rnacentral:tRNA from 1 species
GGCGGUGUAGCUCAGCCUGGUUAGAGCAGCGGUAUCAUAAAUCGCAUGUCAGUGGUUCAAAUCCACUCACCGCCA